AAACUUUCAACAAAGGAUCUCUUGGCUCUCGCAUCGAUGAAGAACGUAGCAAAGCGCGAAAUGUAGUGUGAAUUGCAGAACAUUGUGAAUCAUCGAAUCUUUGAACGCACAUUGCACCUCUCGUGAGGGAGGUAUGCCUGUCUGAGCGUCACCUAAA
rnacentral:rRNA from 1 species